rnacentral:rRNA from 1 species
UAAGGAAUAUUGGUCAAUGGGGGCAACCCUGAACCAGCCAUGCCGCGUGCAGGAAGACAGCCCUACGGGUCGUAAACUGCUUUUGUACGGGAACAAACCCCUCCUCGUGAGGAGGGCUGAGCGUACCGUAAGAAUAAGGAUCGGCUAACUCCGUGCCAGCAGCCGCGGUAAUACGGAGGAUCCGAGCGUUAUCCGGAUUUAUUGGGUUUAAAGGGAGCGUAGGCGGCCCGUUAAGUCAGGGGUGAAAGACGGUGGCUCAACCAUCGCAGUGCCUUUGAUACUGACGGGCUUGAAUACACCUGAGGUAGGCGGAAUGUGGCAAGUAGCGGUGAAAUGCAUAGAUAUGCCACAGAACACCGAUUGCGAAGGCAGCUUACUAAAGUGUGAUUGACGCUGAGGCUCGAAAGCGUGGGGAUCAAACA